UCCCUGGUGGCUCAGACAGUAAAGAACCUGUCUGUAAAGCAGGAGACCUGGGUUCGAUUCCUGGGUUGGGAA
rnacentral:tRNA from 1 species